rnacentral:rRNA from 1 species
UACAGAGGUCUCGAGCGUUAUGCGGAAUCACUGGGCUUAAAGCGUGUGUAGGCGGAUUGCUAAGUACCUUGUGAAAUCCCACGGCUUAACCGUGGAACUGCUUGGUAUACUGGCUGUCUUGAGCCACUUAGGGGCAACCGGAACAAACGGUGGAGCGGUGAAAUGCGUAGAUAUCGUGUGGAACGCCAAUGGUGAAAACAGGUUGCUGGGAGUGUGCUGACGCUGAGACACGAAAGCCAGGGGAGCAAACGGG